CACACACACACACACACACACACACACACACACACACAGACAGAAUCGGGAAUUGGGAAUACUUGCGCGCGAGCAGCUCUUUGCGGCUGCAGUUUUAUUUACAAUCGGCCGAAAUCGCUGGCCAGAAUCUUAUAAAAUUCACCACGGAUAAAUACGUGUCCUUUGUGAAUGAUGUACAGCUUGUUCACGAAUAAAAACUACUGUUUCGA